rnacentral:rRNA from 1 species
UACGAAGGGGGCUAGCGUUGUUCGGAAUUACUGGGCGUAAAGCGCGCGCAGGCGGUUCUUUAAGUCAGGGGUGAAAGCCCAGAGCUCAACUCUGGAAUUGCCUUUGAAACUAGAGAACUUGGGUACGGGAGAGGUGAGUGGAAUUCCGAGUGUAGAGGUGAAAUUCGUAGAUAUUCGGAAGAACACCAGUGGCGAAGGCGGCUCACUGGCCCGAUACCGACGCUCAGGCGCGACAGCGUGGGGAGCAAACAGG